AGCCCACACCUCAGAAAAUACCUCUUUCCAGGGUGACCUUACUUUCCCUCCCUGCCUGAGGAGAAGGUUAACAAUGCUGCUUAUAUGUGCACUUCCAGAUAAACUGACCAGCUCUCAAUUCCAGGUAGAGCAUUGGAUCCUUUCCAUAACAGGUCCUGAAGGCCAGGAAGUCUGGGUAAAUGGAGAUGGAUGUGUCUGGCCAAGGCCACCAAGGUCUCUGGGUCCCCUGAGUGAGGGAGCCCAGCAGAGCGCUUGGGAGUGGCUGAGAGGAAGAGGGUUGACUGCACGUGGUGGCCAUGGUGCUGUGUUUGCUCAUCACGAUUCUGCUCCUACCUGAACUUUCUCCUCUUAUGUAAGGCAUCUCUCAAGAUAACUACACAGCCACAAUCGGCCAUAGCUGGCUGGGUUUACAUAACAAAUUGGUUGGCGUCAUGCAAUGGCCUCUGGAAAAGCCAACGUGCUGAGUGGGCCUGAGGCUUGGGCUCACUUGGUGGGGCACUCUGUGUGCUCAGUGCACUCAAGGGAGAGCAUUCCUUGACCACAGGGGUCAAAAAAAGACGAAAUUUCCCUUUUAGAUGAAGAGGGCAAUAAUGGCCUGGACGUGUUGUGCUGUCCCAAUGCCUGCAAUAAUGGGACAAGGGUUAGGGCUUUGCUGUGGGGCCCCAGCUUUGGCAGAGCAGGCCCUCCUUCGAACCCUGUGGGCUAAUGGGAUCUCCGGGAGGGCCAGAAGGCUAGAUCCCAGCCUCGAAUGAUGAGGAGUCAGGGCAGGGAAAGGGAUCACGGAAGCCACCGUGUACCACGCCAAAAUCCAGUUUAGCUAAGGAGUCAGAGUUGGGGAUAAGACGAGGUCUGUGAGAAUAGAGAACGAGCUUUUUUCGGAUGCUAAUCCAGGCAGGAGGGGCAAGGCCAAGUCCCUGGUACCUUCUAGCUGGAAAGCCCUGCCCCAAAGGAGCGACUGCUCUUCUGGAACCAGUUUAAGGGGUGUGAGAUCCCAGCCAGCACAGAGACUGAUUGGGAAGCUUCCCAUUGUGCAGACACUGGCCCAAAGGGAAACAAGAGCCAGAAGCACGCCUGGUCAGCGAGGCCUCAGGCACGCUAUCAGCCUUCCUCCCCUGGGAGCCACUUUCCUCAAAUAGACCGAGCCUGAAAUCAGGCCCCUGCCUGUGGACCAAGCCCCACAGGGACCUUCCCCAUCCUUCCUCGAAGGAAGAAUUUACUCACGAAACAACCCUGGGUAUGCAACCUACUUCCUCUUGUCUCCUUUUCAGGGGAGAUGGAGAGCAGCUGCUCACAGCUUAGGGGUCUGGCCAGGAGUCCGGCUCCGAGCUUUCUAGGCUGGUGAUUGGCUCCAGCUAUCCCUGAGGAAGAAAGGGGUGAGAAGUGAGAGGAAGGGAAGCAGUUCCAACGGCUCCUUCCUGGCUUACACACCCCCCCCACACACACACACACACCUCCCUUUCAGCCUCACUCCCAGACUAGGCUGGGCCUGGGCCAGCCUGAGGUCCCUGACUCAUAUCUCGCGUAGUGCCUUAUGUAACAGAGCCAGGUUACUGAGGCAUCAAACCUCUGCUUGCUCAGUGGCAGGCUUCCCCGGGGCCAGGCAUUCAGAAGCCCGCUGGGGGUCUAAGUAGAGCUCGCCACACUUCCAAAGGACAAGGCCACUCUCCCUAGUGUCAGGCCAGCAGGCUGCUCAGAGGUAAGUGCCAGGCUGUGAAGGCGAUUCCCCCCAGAACUCCCACGCUCGGCAGCAAAUGUAAGCAGGCAGGUGUGCUGCUAUGGGCUUAGUGUGGUUGGGGGUAUUUUUUGAGGGGUAGGGGUGGGGCUCCUGCCAUCACCUGAUUGUACAGUGCUAAAGAGACAGCCUGGGGCAUCUGGAAGGGUCCCAGAACAGGUGUCAGAAGUUCUUCUCACUUUUGUAUCUGCUUGUUGGUUCAGGUACUGUUCUGGAGACCUUAUAGAAAAGGAGUUUCCAUCGUGGCUCAGUGGUUAACGAAUCCGACUGGGAACCAUGAGGUUGCCAGUUCAAUCCCUGGCCCGCUCAGUGGGUCAAGGAUCCAGCAUUGCCAUGAGCUGUGGUGUAGGUUGCAGACAUGGAUCAGAUCCCGCGUUGCCGUGGCUCUGACAUAGCUACAGCUCUGAUUCGACCCCUAACCUGGGAACCUCCAUAUGCCGCAAGUGUGGCCCUAAAAAGAUAAAUAAAUAAAUAAAUAAAUAAAUAAAUAGAAGAAGGCCUAAAAGAGCCAAUUCCCAAUCCAUUCUCCAUGUAGUCUCAAAGUUCCCAGGCUGGCUUGCAUUCACAGUGAUACUUAGCUCUCCGCCUGGCCUGUUGAGAAAAUUGCAUUACUGGCUUGGUGCAGCUGAGCCCCCAGUGAAGUGGGGCUUGCCGAAUUCCACGACAUAUUUCUCUAAGAAGCUCAUUCGACUCUCUACAACACAGGAGAGUCUCAUCCAUCUAACAGCCCGUUGGCUCAAACGUUGUGACUAAACCCACCCAGGUCCUCUUCUUCUCUUUCCUUGUCUUUGCCCAGCCUUUCCCACUGUGUCACCAGCGGGUAAACGGCUCACAGGCUGAGGGUAGUUGAAGACACUGCCCUCCUGUCUGAGAAAAAGAGGAAGACACAGGGAGAUAAAGUCAAAAAGGCGGCCUGGGAAUUACCAGCCGACAUGAUUUGUAUCUGAAGCUCAGUCUCACGGAUCCUCAGACAAGCUCAAGACCUCUAUCUUGGCGCUCCAGAGAGCUGGGCACCUCAACUUCUCUGAAUCUCUGCCAGAACCCAGUGAAAACGGGGGGCGGGGGCUGAGGUGGAGGUGCAGAAUUUUCCUUUCUUGAGAUCCCCUCUGGGGCCUCCAGCCUCUCACUUCUCCCUAUUCCUCAAUCCUUUCGGUUCAUAGCCAAUCGCAGGUAAAAACAAAACAAAGCAACCAGAAACAACAAGGAAUAAGAAGAACCCUGCUCAGUUUUAAGGCAAUAUACUCUGCCUCGCCAGGCACGCAGGGAGAUGAAUGACAGCAGUACCUCGUUCGGCCUUGUACUGAGUGACCAAGCCCUCCAGUUAAUCAAUGCAUCAUUUAUCGACCACAGGCCUGCUAUUUAUCCAGUGCCUCCUGCGGAUUUAUUGACCGUCUCCCUCACUAAGCACCGUAGAGGACAGGAGAGGCGGCAGAGUCGAGGGCCCGAGCUGGGGGUGGUGGUGGUGGGGGCAGCCGAGAAUGAUGCAGCUGCACCCCAAGGCCGGCGGGGAAUAAAGCACUUCCAUCUGAGCAACAGCAGGUCGUGUUAGGCCUUCUGCUUCUUAACGGAGAGGCCUCAAGCUUGCUGCUCCCUGGAUCUGCGAGUCCGGAGCUUAGGCGGUGCCAAAGCCAACUAGGAAGGGAGAGUCUCUUUAUGGCGGCGGCUUCCAGCAGGGCCUCAAAGAAUGGGUUGGCUCUGGCUGGUGGGAAGCGGCUGUGGGGGCUCUCUUGUUGGGAGCGGGGAGGGGAACCUUGCCAGUCCAGUGGGACUCAAGGGUCAGAAGGAGCUGGCCUGGGGUGGGGACAGGGAGAACGUUUCCUCUUCUUCCUGGGCUGGAACCCAGAGUCAGCCAGCUUCAGGAAUGAGAGGCUUCCCCUGGCCCUUCUCUUAUGGCCCUUCUGUGACUCAGGGCGAGCUGGCCCCUAGUAGCCUCCCCUCGGAGACUUAGCCAGUCUUGAGAAGGCAAGGGGGCCUUUGGGGCCCGGGAGCAGGAAGGCACCUUUCCUCAAUGCUUGCGGAAAGUUCAUUGGAGUCAGGAGGGUUGAGCUUGAAGUGCAGCUGAGCGUUGCCACCGGAGGAGCCGUUGGGUGCAGCUUCACAUCUGUGCACCUCUGGCCUCAGUCUCCACCAGGCCCCAUCCCGGGGGUAAGAGAACCACGGGUGUGUCGAGGUGCUGUCCUGAGACUAUAUAUAUGUACCAUUCGCCCAAAUCUCCCUGGAAAAAAAGUUGCUGGUGGCCCCACGGGGUGUUUGUUCAUCUUAGCCUUGUGUGUCCCUUGGUCACACCCUUCUUUCCCAGAUGCUCUAUAAAUGAAGGCCUGGGGGUCGGGCUGAGGAAGGAGGGAAGCCUCAAGCUGACCGGAAAGGAGAGGGAGCAGAAGUCAUAAAAGGGACCAGCCUCAGGGCACCUGGGGAAGGAGGAUGCUGCUUAUGUCCAUAAGCACGAUGCUUUCUGGGCCCUUCUCCCCCAGCUAGUGUCCUGGGCAUCCGUGCCCACCAGUGCUCUGGCGAAUUCACAUUUCAGUUCGGGAACAGAUUCAGUCAACCACAAAAAUUGCUGUAUGCCUUCCAUGUACCAGGCUCGCUGCUAGGCACCGAGAUAGAAUGGGAAACUCACAAAAGGCAUGGUCACAGCCAUCAUGCAAUAGUCAGUCGAGUGGGGGAGAUGGACAUUAACCAAAUCGUCACACUAAUGAAUGUAUAAUUAGAAAAGAAGUGCCAAGAGGGAAAAGGAAUAAACUUCUGUCAGAGCGUCUAACAAAGGAUAAGACAAGGCUUCCUGCGGAAGUGAUAUUCAGCUAAAGGAAUGAAUCUCUAUUGCUGAAAUUCUGAUCAUCAGAUGAGAUGAUUUCUCCCGGCCAAAGGAGAAAGGUUUAGACAGGGGGCUGUCUCAGGAGCCCCUGAAGUCAUACCAUUAGGUAGCUGCUCACACUCUUGGAAAUAUUUCCAGGCCGUGAGCGGCCAGUAGGUCCAGAAGGGGAGGUCUGGCAACAUUCUGACAAGAGGAAGAGAUGAAUUUGAAGCCCACGGGGCAGCUAGUACUUAAUGUCACUCUUCGCUAAAAAUAGUCCAUGACAGUAUGGAAAUGCGUAAAGGCUGGCCCUGGGGACUGGUGAUAAAGUGGCUAUAGCCUAUGGGGAGGAAAAUUUGUUUU
ensembl:lncRNA